AAUAUACUCCCCCCGUCCAAAAAUUCUUGUCUUAGAUUACUCUAGAUACAGAUGUAUCUAAUACUAAAACGUGACUCGAUACGUUCGUAUUUAGACAAAUCUAAGACAAGAAUUUUGGGUCGGAGGGAGUAUAUA
rfam:Triticum aestivum genome assembly, contig: Triticum_aestivum_CS42_TGACv1_scaffold_080600_1DS